AUUAUGAUACCAGGGUCAAAAGGUCUAAACCCACAUGAGCUUGCUCAUAGGUGGGUGAAUGACCUUGGGACCCGCCCCAAUAUGAGCAUAAAAGUGGGAUGAUAGUCCCACGAUAUGCGAAUAUUGGGUAGUAUUGUGGGAGUGCGUAGCACGGAACAAUCCGUAGGGUAUCAUAGU
rfam:Human gut metagenome DNA, contig sequence: F1-S_001385.